rfam:Gossypium raimondii Chr01_contig_266, whole genome shotgun sequence.
UAUUAAAAAUUUCAUCCAUUUUUGUUGUUAAAAAUUGGUGUGGCUAAUAGAAUAACCAAACAGUUACAAGCAACGUACCUCAUUUUGACAAAUAGGGAUCGAUUAACAAUAGGAAUGGAUGAAAUUUUUAACA